rnacentral:rRNA from 1 species
AGUGAACGCUGGCGGUAGGCCUAACACAUGCAAGUCGAACGGCAGCACAGGAGAGCUUGCUCGCUGGGUGGCGAGUGGCGGACGGGUGAGGAAUAUAUCGGAAUCUACUCUGUCGUGGGGGAUAACGUAGGGAAACUUAUGCUAAUACCGCAUACGACCUACGGGUGAAAGCAGGGGAUCUUCGGACCUUGCGCGAUUGAAUGAGCCGAUGUCGGAUUAGCUAGUUGGCGGGGUAAAGGAACACCAAGGCGACGAUCCGUAGCUGGUCUGAGAGGAUGAUCAGCCACACUGGAACUGAGACACGGUCCAGACUCCUACGGGAGGCAGCAGUGGGGAAUAUUGGACAAUGGGGGCAACCCUGAUCCAGCAAUGCCGCGUGUGUGAAGAAGGCCUUCGGGUUGUAAAGCACUUUAGGUUGGGAAGAAGGUGGUUAUUUUAAGAGAUAGAUCACUUGACGGUACCGACAGAAUAAGCACCGGCUAACUCUGUGCCAGCCGCCGCGGUAA